rnacentral:rRNA from 1 species
GUGGGGAAUAUUGCACAAUGGGCGCAAGCCUGAUGCAGCCAUGCCGCGUGUAUGAAGAAGGCCUUCGGGUUGUAAAGUACUUUCAGCGAGGAGGAAGGCAUUAAGGUUAAUAACCUUGGUGAUUGACGUUACUCGCAGAAGAAGCACCGGCUAACUCCGUGCCAGCAGCCGCGGUAAUACGGAGGGUGCAAGCGUUAAUCGGAAUUACUGGGCGUAAAGCGCACGCAGGCGGUCUGUCAAGUCGGAUGUGAAAUCCCCGGGCUCAACCUGGGAACUGCAUUCGAAACGGGCAGGCUAGAGUCUUGUAGAGGGGGGUAGAAUUCCAGGUGUAGCGGUGAAAUGCGUAGAGAUCUGGAGGAAUACCGGUGGCGAAGGCGGCCCCCUGGACAAAGACUGACGCUCAGGUGCGAAAGCGUGGGGAGCAAACAGGAUUAGAAACCCCAGUAGUCC